AGAGCACUUUCAAGCUAAAAGGAAGGAGGCUCAGCAGUGGGUUUCCAACUGUGCCUCCUUCCUUGGUUCACAAUGACAGUCCAACUUCUGCCAGUCCUGACUGUCAUUCAAGCCUUUUUGCUAUUUAAGAAUUUUGAGGAAGAAAACCGUCAUGUACUCAAAAUCCUGGUAAUCAGAAGUGUCUGGAGAUUUCGAGCUGUUAACAUAGAGAGGUGGCAAAAUUAUUUUCUGGGAUAUCCUUAUGGGCCUGAAUGGCAGCGGGAGUCGACAUAGCUGGUGCCUGGGCAGGUUUCCAAAGCACAGCCGAGGUGGAGAGUAGGUGAGGGCUGCAACAAAGGUCCCGACAUCUGAAGAGCACUGCACAGUUUGUCAGAGGAUUUCAGCUCCACACUCUCACUUAGUCCUCACAGCAACCCCAUGCAGUGACUGCUGUCACUUCUUUUCAUGGCUGAGAAGACUGUUGGGAGAGGAAAAAUGAAUUGCCCACUGGCAGGCAGGUAAGAGGCACAGCUGAAACUCUCACCUAGUUCUUCUGACUCCAAGCCCAUCAUCUCAGGAUUGUACCCAAGUGGCUCUUGCACCAGUAUCAGCGCCAAUGGCAGGGUCAGCAGAAAAUAGCAGAGGGGCCUGAAAACAGAUGGGAACAUCUGGAAAAGAUUCAUAAUCCACUUAGGAAAAAGGAGGGGGGAUGCACGGAGUUAGCACAUAUUAAGUGCCUGCUGUAGUCAAGCCCUGUUGGACACCAGGGACAUCUGGACCUUGACAACGGAGCGAAGGGGUGGUCCUGCCUGCACCAGGUUUCAGUGGCUUCUCAGGCUUCUCUGCAGCAUGGGUGUUCCUGCCUUGGCCAGAGCCGAAAUCCCAGAGCAGUGAAAGAGGAGCCAGUGUCAUGGGGCUUCUGGUUUCAGGACACACUGGAAAGGCUGGUCCCUGAGUGCUCCAAGGACCCAUGCAUCUGACCAUAGGGGAUGCUGGGAGUAUCCUCCAUCCUGGCCUGAAAGAGCUCCCUUUCAGCUUCCUGGAUUCAUAUCUGUCUUUCUGAAAACUGACUUCCCAUAUUCCCAAAGCCAUCGCCAGCUCCCAGCUUUGUCAUUCAGGAAAAAGAGUAUGCACCUCCCCUUCAUCCUCCUCAUCUCUCACCAUCAUUAAGUACAAGCCCAAGGAGAAGAAUCAAGGGCAAUGAAUCUUCAUCAAACAAUAAAAUCCUGCCUGGUACCAGACCUACCUGUGCCAUCCAAGCACUGCCUGCCCUGUCCCUCCAUUAAACAUCUUACCCUUGC
ensembl:lncRNA NAMA non-protein coding RNA, associated with MAP kinase pathway and growth arrest